GGGCUGCAGUGAGGAAUUUUGCGCAAUGGGGGAAACCCUGACGCAGCAAUACCACGUGGGUGAUGAAGGUCUUCGGAUUGUAAAGCCCUGUCAAAUGGAAAGAAAAGCUUGAGGUUAACACCCUCAAGACUUGACGGUACUAUUAGAGGAAGUCUCGGCUAACUACGUGCCAGCAGCCGCGGUAAUACGUAUGAGGCUAACGUUGUUCGGAUUUACUGGGCGUAAAGGGUGUGUAGGCGGUUUAGUAAGUCUGAUGUGGAAUCUAGAAGCUUAACUUCUAUACGUCAUCAGAAACUACUUAACUUGAGUACAGGAGGGGAGAGUGGAAUUCCAGGUGUAGCGGUGAAAUGCUUAGAUAUCUGGAGGAACACCAGUGGUGAAGACGGCUCUCUGGACUGUAACUGACGCUGAAACACGAAAGCAUGGGGAGCAAACGGGAUUAGAUACCCCGGUAGUC
rnacentral:rRNA from 1 species